rnacentral:tRNA from 1 species
GGGGGGCUGGCGCAACGGUAGCGCGGUAAGUCAUUAUCCUGAAGGUUAAGGGUUCAAAUCCCUUGUCCCUCA